rnacentral:rRNA from 1 species
UGGGGAAUAUUGCACAAUGGGCGCAAGCCUGAUGCAGCAACGCCGCGUGAGGGACGACGGCCUUCGGGUUGUAAACCUCUUUUAGUAGGGAAGAAGCGAAAGUGACGGUACCUGCAGAAAAACGCACCGGCUAACUACGUGCCAGCAGCCGCGGUAAUACGUAGGGUGCGAGCGUUGUCCGGAAUUAUUGGGCGUAAAGAGCUCGUAGGCGGUCUGUCGCGUCUGCUGUGAAAACCCGAGGCUCAACCUCGGGCCUGCAGUGGGUACGGGCAGACUAGAGUGCGGUAGGGGAGAAUGGAAUUCCUGGUGUAGCGGUGGAAUGCGCAGAUAUCAGGAGGAACACCGAUGGCGAAGGCAGUUCUCUGGGCCGUAACUGACGCUGAGGAGCGAAAGCGUGGGGAGCGAACAGGAUUAGAUACCCUGGUAGUCCACGCCGUAAACGUUGGGCGCUAGAUGUGGGGCACCAUUCCACGGUUUCCGUGUC